GCAGGCAGAGGAGUAGGCAGAAGCCAUUUCUGGACUUGGGCACAGAGCCAUGGCCACAGGGCAAAGUGGUCACAAGUCCAGACACUCAAGUGCAAAGCCAGGGCUGUGUCUGUCCUCUUCCUUGGACCAGGCCCUGCCCUAACAUCAGCAGCACAGGCAGUUGUGCUGGUGUUUAUAAGGGAAGGGGCUGCUAGGACCACUGGGGUUGGGCUCAGGAAGUGGGUUGUGGGCUCCAGCUGGAAAUGCUGGCUGGAAGGUGGUGGGUGAAUCGCAGUGGGUACGGGGGGAGGGAUAAACAGCAGGAGCUCAAACAAGGAGGCCAUGGGCCCUGGAGUACCCAGAGGGAGGACUUAGCUUACAUUGGCCUGGGAGGCUUCUUGAGGGCAGGGCCAGGUGUGUCUGCUUUGGCUCCCUGUCCCCAGAACCCACCAGGAACUAGAAGUUCCAAGGUUGGCUGCAAGGGGCUGGGAUCCGCCAGCGUCUGGGGAUCAGAAACACCCAUUUCAGGUCUCUGCAGAGGCGGUGCCUGAAAGGAGGUGAGGGAGAUGGUGGCUGGUUGUCAAAUGUGCAACUCCUGCCCUUGAGCCAGGCUGCAUGGCUUGCGAGGCAUUUCACCUCUGAGCUGUCACCGGGAAAGAGAUCCAACUUCCAGGGGGAAGAUACUGGAAGCCCGCCCUGGUUGCUCCAGCCCACAUGAUCUUUCUUCAUGAAUUUCUCAAAUUCAGAGCACCCACUGGCUACUCCCUGUGUGCAGAAGCCUUGUGACCUCUCUGGAAAUGUGUGUGGUGGUUCAUUUCCUAGCUUCAUAAACAGAGGCAAAUAACUUAACCUUGGUUCCUGCCCUGAAGGAGCUCAAAGUUAUACAGGCAGCUGGCUGACAGCAAGAGGCAGUGUUGAAAGGAGAUGGGAGUCGCCACCACAGGUCAACACAAUCAAACCUAAGAACUACAACACUGCUAACAUUGUUGAAUAGACCUGUGUGCUCUUCCUCCCCUCUCCUACCCCUGCCUCCACAACUAUGAACACUGUAGUCAAACUGUUGAAAAAGAGAGAAAAUCUUAAAAGUAGACAGAAAAUAAAGGUCACAUUACAUUGGGGGCAACAGUAAGAAUGAUGGCUGCUUCUCAUCAGAAACAAUGUAAGUCAGAGUGUGGAAUGAUAGCUCUAAAAUGCUAAAACAAACAAAAUUCAAGUUGGAAUUCUAUAUCCAGUGAAAAAAUAUCCUUGAAAAAUGAAGGCAAAAUAAAGAUAUUUUCAGACAACUGAAGCUGUUGCCAGGUCUGCAAUACAUGAAAUUCUAAAGGAAGUUCUUCGUGCUGAAGGGAAAUGAUCCUGGCCAGAAAUCAGGAUGUGAAGAAGGAAUGAAGAACAUCAGCAACAAUCAAAGACAGUAAAGUCCCCUGGGCGCUGGUACCUCCUGAAGGCAGAAACACAAAAGCAGGAACAGCCGUUCUGCAUGAUAGGCUAGACUUUGAACUCCAAGAGGGUAGAGAUGAUCGAUCCCUUUUUCAUAGUCAUAUUCCUGUCACCUGGGAUAGAGUAAGCGUUCACAUCCUGUCCAUGUUUCAUCACAGCACUUGGAACAAGAAAUUGUACCAUUGCCUGUCCCUGCCUCUUAAUGGGAACUUCUGAGGCAAGUUACCAUAACGUGGAGCCUCAGUUUCCCUACAUGCAAAAUAGAAAUGAUGAUACUGACCUUCUAGACUUACGACGACUGAAUGAAAAAGGUAUGUGAA